UAUAGUGUAUUUAGUUAUAUACACAUUUCAACUAUUCCCCACUAUUCUUUUUGAGUUGUAAUGACCCUGUUGCCCCUAUUGCUUAAAUCAAAUAAAAUGCAUCUGACAUCAGUUACCUCUUUUACUACCUCAAUUUUACUCGAAAAGAAAAGAUAAAAGAAGAAAUAUGAAACUCUGUAUCUCUCACUCUUAUGAGUCUUAUCCUUAGUUCUCUCGUUUGCCCAAAAAAAAAAAAAUCCUUGGUUCUUUCUCUUUUUUUCUCAAAACAUCUUUCAUAGUAUAAUUCAUAUAAUCUAAAAGACAACAAAUUGCCACUAUCAAUAAGAGUCGAGAUGAAUAAAGAAAUCUAAUUAAAAUUUCAAAAACGAUCUUGGCUGUUCAGAGACCCAGAAACUUGUGGGCAAUGGAUAGAUCGACGUGGUUCCAGAAUUUCCGUUUCAUAAUCCGAAGAGUUGAAGCCACUGUCUUUGCAUAGUGCUUAUUAAGUACUUGCAUGUUCAGAUAUGGGGAACGCUUUUUAUGUUGCUGGCCAUGAAAAAUAUAGCGUUCAUAUAGUAUAUGAUCAUUUGUUUUUUUCUUGUUUUUUUUUUCUUUGAUCAUUUGUUAUACAUCAAACGUAUAUCUACCCCACCAGGCUAAACUUUGUUGUAACCCCUCAAUAUUAAGUAUAAGCUAAUAUUACAAUAAUAUCAUUGAUUGAUUUUUUUUGUUAAA